UGGAGAUCGUCGAUUGGAGUUACCAGGGGCGCUCACAGUACCUAAUAUUAUAUCGAGUAGCGUGACUAUCUCGAAUACUGGACAGAAACGCUCGGUGCACGUGUCAGGGGAAAUGACGUCAACAUCGAUGUCACGUCUCACGUGUCGUCCAGCCGGCAGAGAACAAUUUGGGGCGAACUCCGCCCCGGUUGUGAAAUUGUCACAGCAAGCAGAAAAAGCCCUGCUUAGCCUCGAAGUAUCACCCUCCGAGCGUUAGGCUUCCAUCUAGCGAUGGAAAUCACGACCACUACGGGCUCACAGCGUACUAGAGUACCGCUCUGUGCAAGGAUAACUUAUGGACCCGUCCUUUAGGGGGGUAUACGGGGUUUGUGUGCUUGUCUUUUGAUAUUUUCGAUACCUCUGCAGGCCUGACUAUGUAUCCAUCGAUGGGGUAGGCCGACACUUCUCUUGGCAAACGAUACCGUCGUCACUUGGCUCCUGUCGUGAGGAAGGCUCAUAUGCAUGCUGUUGCGUGUACGCGUACAGUGCCAUGCUAGAGGCUGAUAAGCAAAGGCCAGUCAUACGUACCGAGUUGCUAGGUGAUUUCUGAAACUCUGUUUGGACGGUUCAUCUUCUGUUUCUGUGGUCCACUCGCCGGUGUGUCCCCUUCACAAGUUGGAGAGUCUGUAGGGCUUGGUGAGGUUUGCACAAGGCAGCAGUGGGUAGGCGACCCACACAGGCACCAGACCUAUAUGUAAACAUUCUAGUCGUAAACGAAGGAAGAAACGUGACGUUAUAAUGGUGUGCAGUGUGCCAUGCUAAUAUGCCUCGCCGCGGGGGGCAGAGCUCUGUCCAACAAUAGUUGCAGAGGGAGGGCACCCAGGAAAAAACAGGGUACACGAGAAAGUCGAAAAACUGCAGAGGUUAUCGGAACGGGGCACCGAAAUGAGGGGGGAAAGCCGUCAUUCGGAUGAGCUCCAGUCUUCAAUUUCCCAGUUCUCCUCGAUAUUACUUGAUCGAUGUCUACACAUCCUGCAGGCACGUACAACGGAC
rnacentral:lncRNA from 1 species